GAUGAACGCUGGCGGCGUGCCUAAUACAUGCCAGUCGAGCGAACAGACGAGGAGCUUGCUCCUCUGACGUUAGCGGCGGACGGGUGAGUAACACGUGGAUAACCUACCUAUAAGACUGGGAUAACUUCGGGAAACCGGAGCUAAUACCGGAUAAUAUAUUGAACCGCAUGGUUCAAUAGUGAAAGACGGUUUUGCUGUCACUUAUAGAUGGAUCUGCGCCGCAUUAGCUAGUUGGUAAGGUAACGGCUUACCAAGGCAACGAUGCGUAGCCGACCUGAGAGGGUGAUCGGCCACACUGGAACUGAGACACGGUCCAGACUCCUACGGGAGGCAGCAGUAGGGAAUCUUCCGCAAUGGGCGAAAGCCUGACGGAGCAACGCCGCGUGAGUGAUGAAGGUCUUCGGAUCGUAAAACUCUGUUAUUAGGGAAGAACAAAUGUGUAGGUAACUAUGCACGUCUUGACGGUACCUAAUCAGAAAGCCACGGCUAACUACGUG
rnacentral:rRNA from 1 species